rnacentral:lncRNA from 1 species
UUUACCUUGAGUUGGGAUGAGCUUAAUUGGUUGUAAUGAAAAGGUUCAAGUUUGGGGUUGCUUGGGGGAAGUUGGAAGCCACUUGAAAAGCAUUGAGUUCAAAAGUUGUGAAAGAAAAAUACAUGAGAAAACGAAAAAGAAAAGAAGAAAAAGCAUGAAGAUGGGCUCAAUGCAAAAGAAAAGGGAAAAAGUUGGGAAUAAGUGAGAUUGGUGAGGAAGAGAGUUGUACUUAAAUGUUGAAUGUCAUGAUGGCUCUCUUAACUCAAGGAUUUUGCAUUCCAGAAAAACCAAUUCUUCUUGUUAGCCCAACCUCAUUACAAGCCUUGGAAAAGUCUUUUUGAUGGCAAUUGCAUGUAAGGAUUUUGGUUGUUUUAGAUGAA